rnacentral:misc_RNA from 1 species
UUUCCGUAGGUGAACCUGCGGAAGGAUCAUUAUCCUUUGCGUAGAGCUCUUUGCGAGCACUACAUGCGCUACACUCUACAGUGUUGCGUUACAAUGCGCAGUGUGCGGGACCUCGCUCCCACUCACUCACUCAAACCCCCACUCGCUCGAGUGUGGUCGGGUACCUGCUGCUGCCUCGCGCAGCACAAGCGUCAGACCCUAGUGUCUCUCGUGUGGUAUAAUGAUUGCUCGCGCUCAGAGCAACGCCCGCUCAGCAUACCGCUUACUACUACAAACUUAUAUCGCAUCUAACUAUGUUGUAUGUGUAAUGCAAAUGUCGACGGCUGCUCACAGCUCUCGAUAUCUAACACAAAUACAACCCUAUGCGGUGGAUCAUUUGGCUCGC